rnacentral:misc_RNA from 1 species
CUGCCGUAACUUGGGCUCAUCAUGCUAUACUCGCGGGGAAGGAAAAACGAGCAGUUUAUGCUUUAGUAGCUACCGUUUUACUGGCUCUAGUAUUCACUGGCUUUCAAGGAAUGGAAUAUUAUCAAGCACCCUUCACUAUUUCGGAUAGUAUUUAUGGUUCUACCUUUUUCUUAGCAACUGGCUUUCAUGGUUUUCAUGUGAUUAUAGGUACUCUUUUCUUGAUCAUAUGUGGUAUUCGCCAAUAUCUUGGUCAUCUGACCAAGGAGCAUCACGUUGGCUUUGAAGCAGCUGCAUGGUACUGGCAUUUUGUAGACGUGGUUUGGUUAUUCCUAUUUGUUUCUAUCUAUUGGUGGGGGGGUAUAUGAAGGAACGAAACAGUGGAUUGAGGAAUGAAAGCUCGAAGACAAAGAGAACCGGGCUUUUCCAAAGAAUUACUGCAGCUUUGCUGCUCCCUUUUUUU